rnacentral:rRNA from 1 species
AACGAACGCUGGCGGCGUGCUUAACACAUGCAAGUCGAACGUGAAAGGGGGCAACCCUGAGUAGAGUGGCGCACGGGUGAGUAAUACAUAGGAACGUACCUACAGGUGGGGAAUAACGUCGGGAAACUGUCGCUAAUACCGCGUAACAUCGAGAGAUCAAAGGGGGCGCCGCAAGGGCUCUCGCCAGUAGAUCGGCCUAUGUCCCAUUAGCUAGUUGGUAGGGUAAAGGCCUACCAAGGCUACGAUGGGUAGCUGGUCUGAGAGGAUGAUCAGCCACACUGGAACAGAGACACGGUCCAGACUGCUACGGGAGGCAGCAGUGGGGAAUCGUGCACAAUGGGCGAAAGCCUGAUGAAGCAACGCCGCGUGGGUGGAGAAGGUUCUUGGAUUGUAAAGCCCUUUCGGCUAGGAAGAAGGGUCUAUGUGCUAAUACCACAUAGAUUUGACGGUACUAGAAGAAGAAGCACCGGCUAACUCCGUGCCAGCAGCCGCCGUAAGAC